GACGAACGCUGGCGGCGUGCUUAACACAUGCAAGUCGAACGGAAAGGCCCUGCUUUUGUGGGGUGCUCGAGUGGCGAACGGGUGAGUAACCCGUGAGUAACCUGCCCUUGACUUUGGGAUAACUUCAGGAAACUGGGGCUAAUACCGGAUAGGAGCUCCUGCUGCAUGGUGGGGGUUGGAAAGUUUCGGCGGUUGGGGAUGGACUCGCGGCUUAUCAGCUUGUUGGUGGGGUAGUGGCUUACCAAGGCUUUGACGGGUAGCCGGCCUGGGAGGGUGACCGGCCACAUUGGGACUGGGAUACGGCCCAGACUCCUACGGGAGGCAGCAGUGGGGAAUAUUGCACAAUGGGCGGAAGCCUGAUGCAGCAACGCCGCGUGCGGGAUGACGGCCUGCGGGUUGGAUACCGCUUUCGCCUGUGACGAAGCGUGAGUGACGGUAAUGGGUAAAGAAGCACCGGCUAACUACGUG
rnacentral:rRNA from 1 species